GACGAACGCUGGCGGCGUGCCUAAUACAUGCAAGUCGAGCGCAGGAAACUGACGGAACCCUUCGGGGGGAAGUCGAUGGAAUGAGCGGCGGACGGGUGAGUAACACGUAAAGAACCUGCCCUCAGGACUGGGAUAACCACGAGAAAUCGGGGCUAAUACCGGAUGGGUCAUCGGACCACAUGGUCCGAGGAUGAAAGGCGCUUCGGCGUCGCCUGGGGAUGGCUUUGCGGUGCAUUAGCUAGUUGGUGGGGUAAUGGCCCACCAAGGCGACGAUGCAUAGCCGACCUGAGAGGGUGAUCGGCCACACUGGGACUGAGACACGGCCCAGACUCCUACGGGAGGCAGCAGUAGGGAAUCUUCCACAAUGGACGAAAGUCUGAUGGAGCAACGCCGCGUGAACGAUGAAGGCCUUCGGGUCGUAAAGUUCUGUUGUAAGGGAAGAACAAGUGCCGCAGGCAAUGGCGGCACCUUGACGGUACCUUGCGAGAAAGCCACGGCUAACUACGUGCCAGCAGCCGCCGUAACAC
rnacentral:rRNA from 1 species